UACGAAGGGUGCAAACGUUGCUCGGAAUUAUUGGGCGUAAAGCGCGUGUAGGCGGCUUGGUAGGUCAGCUGUGAAAACUCGAGGCUCAACCUCGAGAUGUCGGUUGAAACCACCUUGCUAGAGUCCGGAAGAGGAGAGUGGAAUUCCUGGUGUAGCGGUGAAAUGCGCAGAUAUCAGGAAGAACACCAAUGGCGAAGGCAGCUCUCUGGGACGGUACUGACGCUGAGACGCGAAAGCGUGGGGAGCGAACAGG
rnacentral:rRNA from 1 species